GCACAGACAAGGAAGGACAGUGGGGAGGGGGCACCUCGGGGGCUUUCUGCAGCUUUGUCCUUUGGGCUGAGCCAGGUGUGAGCUGUGUUUUGGCCAUGCACCUGCUGCAGAUGUCGGAAUGGCUUUCUUUGCCCGAACACCUGGAUGUGUAGGUCUGGCCAGGAAACCUUCAAGUAGGAGCACUUUCCCUUCUAAGCAGACCCAGGAGAAAAUGCAGUGGGAGAGAAGAUCCACUCUUCUGAGGACAGAGUCCUUGGCCAACGUUGAGUGAAUCCUGCUGCAACAUAGGACAGUGGUCAUCAUUGUCAUUGUUAUACUGGCCUCCAAAACCCAGAGUCCUGCUCUAGAUGGUUCUGCUACUAACGAGGAUGAUGCAAGGAUGGAGAAAAUUGGGUGUUGGAUGGAACUGGUGACCACCAGGGCUUCACUUCUCAUCUCUGCUGACGCGCCCUAAAACCGGGCUCCCCUCCAGUGCGUUUGGAGCAGCAGUGCUGACAACGUUAGGCUGAACCCUCCAUCCACCACUGAGGAAAACACACAGCGGAGGAAAGUCAGGUUCCAGAUUGCUCAGCAGAAAGGAGAAACCAGCUUGGAAGCCCCUCUGGAAGAAGGCCAGGCAGUAAUCUCACGGCGUGUGGUGCUGCAGGGAAUGGAGGUGUAACGUUCUGCUACAUGUAGGCUCUGCUGGUGCAUCUCUGGUCUCAGUUGGAAGCAGGAAGAUCUGGAAAGGCUGAAAAACAUGGAGAGGAAAAAUGCAGCAAGCUCUUAUCAGAAAACAGGAACCUGUGAUGGUCAGCCCUUCACUGGAGAUAGAUCCCUCAGCACUGGCUUUGGGAAGUAAGUGCUUGCAGUGACCUAAGUCUGUCAUUACUGGAAGUCCUCUUCCUACCUCUGUUGUUUAGCAUGAGUCAGUCUGUCUUUGCUGCUGUCCUCUUGUCUGUCCAACCUGAGCCAGAGUUACUGCUAGCUAAAUGAAAUGCUUUUCAUGCAUCCCUGUUGUCUUCAAGAGGCUGUAGUUCUAGCUUGUCAAGAUGAAGCAAAAGGCCUAAUUUUGGCACCGUUCUUUAAUAGCUGUCUUGCUUGGACUCUGAGUAUCUCCAUCUUCAAAAUAGGGCUGAUACUAAUUGCCUAUUUGCAAUGUAUUUCCAGAUGCGUGGCUGUAAAGUGCUGUAUGAAAAAAACAGGCAUUGUUGUUAUGAAACUUUCAGGAAAAAAAAAUUAAUAGAUUCAUAUAACUCCACAGUCAUUAAAACAAACCGUAUGUGGAUGGAAGAGACCAGAGCUGAAUAAACCUUGAGCAAACACAGCCUUUAACAAUGAAACGCAAACUGGUUUUAAUCAGCGGUGCCAAAUAAGUUUUAUUUUCCAAGGUUUCAUUUUUCCACCAUCUCCCUCCUUGAGUAUUAUCAACUACAGAAGGUGAUCAUUGCCUGACUUCUGCUCUUAAUGAGUAUCAUUUUUAAACAACAGCAAUGUCCUCUGCUUGGGCUGGCCAGGUCUGAAGUCAACUUCAGCUCUGCUAGGAUCUCAGCCACCCUUUGUGAGCACAUCAAAUUUGUCCAAGGAUCUUUAGACAAAACUGGGUCUAGGCUCCAACAGAUGGGAUAGAUGGCUACCAACCACCAUCUUGCAUUCCCCUUCUCCAGGGAAGCCGUGAAGCUCUUUUCCAUUCUGCUUCAACCAAGGUUUUUCUUGUGCUUGUUUAGGAGGCAAAAAUAGCUUUUUGCUAGGAUGCUGAUGAGGUUACACAGACUGAGCUGAGCAGCCUGGAGGAAGAGCUGGGAGGCAAUGGCCCAGCCACCUCCUUGCUGCUGCUCACCUAAAUUUUAGGAAAAGCUGUAAUGUCUGCUUGCCAGUUGGUUUGUAGGCAGUAAAUUCAGGGAGAUGUCUUAGAGUGAGAUAUGUGGAAGGGGGGCUUUUAGGUGACACACGCAUCAACCUUAUUCUUGCCUGGGAAGCCUCCAGUCUGUGCUGCUUGCCCUGGCUGGAAUACAUAAGCACUCUCCUGGUGAUGCCAUCAGAUCAUGGGAACGUGAACUAGACUCAGGGAUUAUGUGCAGAUUGUUGGUAGCUGUGAAAGAUUGUGUAACAAUGGCAGAAGUGUGUGUGUGCAUAUCUAUUUGCAGUUUUGUCCCCUGCUAACAUCUAGUUCCAGAUCAGUAAUGGUAUUUUUUUUCACCUCCGUCUUUUCAGGUUCAUUGGGAUGUAAGAAUACUUUGUUCUCAACUAAGCUAAGCCCAUCACUCUGCAUUUGUUGCUGGCGAAGGCUAUGCGCAGAUGCACAUUAACUUUAAGGCAACUGCCAGCUUCUGGUGAUGCUGAAUUCUCCAUUUUUCAGCCCAGCUGGCCAAUGUAUAUGUGCUAAAAGUGGUGAUCUUAGGUUCAAACCUAGCCCAGCCUGAGGUUCGUAACAGUAGCACAGACAUUUGCUGUCAACAAAUACUCACAAAUGGUGAUGACAGUGCCCUAAGGCAAUUUCCUUCUAAUGCUGCUUGAGAUGAUGAGUGACUCAUACAAGCUUAGAAGUUUCCUCCGGGUUCUUUGGCUGGGUGGGAUGUCCUACUGAUGCUCUGAGGUUCUUGCAUUUAGGCAGGACUUGGUGUGCUGUCAGCCCGGCGGAUGAGCAGUGGGUCAUGGCUGAGCAAGAGACAAAGGAAUGGCUGAGACAAAGAUCUGAGCUGGUGACGCAGCAAUGGAAUGAGUUCUAAAUUUUGCAACAAAAAACCAUAUUCCUCUCCUCACUUGCUAAGAAGUCAUCUGACUUGGAAGGAUAUUUCCUAGAGAGCAUGAGAACGUAGCAGAUCAACUCUGCAGAAAGGAAUGGCCUUCUUCCUUCAUGUUUUCCAUAAGAUCCUGGCCAAGUUGGCCAAUAACUAAGGCAAGGAACUGGGGGGAAAAAAAAGCCCCAUCCUGCUCCCCAGGCAGAGAGCAUUCGGACUUGUCUCAAGCACAGCUCCAGCCACACACCUGCGGGAUGGAAACAGGCAGAGCAAACAAUGAAGCAAGGCUGUUUAUAAAGCCUUCAACACGUCAGGCAGGGAGAAGAGCCCAAGUUUCCACGUCAAGGCCAAAACGGACCAGAAUGACGCGAAACACAUGGAAAAUAUGGAAAAUGUGGAAUAAG
rnacentral:lncRNA from 7 species